GACGAACGCUGGCGGCGUGCUUAACACAUGCAAGUCGAACGGAAAGGCCCUGCUUUUGUGGGGUGCUCGAGUGGCGAACGGGUGAGUAACACGUGAGUAACCUGCCCUUGACUUUGGGAUAACUUCAGGAAACUGGGGCUAAUACCGGAUAGGAGCUCCUGCUGCAUGGUGGGGGUUGGAAAGUUUCGGCGGUUGGGGAUGGACUCGCGGCUUAUCAGCUUGUUGGUGGGGUAGUGGCUUACCAAGGCUUUGACGGGUAGCCGGCCUGAGAGGGUGACCGGCGACAGUGGGACUGCGAUACGGCCCAGACUGCUACGGGAGGCAGCAGUGGAGAAUAUUGCACAAUGGGCGGAAGCCUGAUGCAGCAGCGCCGCGUGCGUGAUGACGGCCUUCGGGUUGUAAACCGCUUUGGCCUGUGACGAAGCGUGAGUGACGGUAAUGGGUAAAGAAGCACCGGCUAACUACGUG
rnacentral:rRNA from 1 species